GCGAGGGUCCGCAGCUUCAUUCUUGAAGUCAGUGAGACCAAGUUCCGGACACAUUCUCAGGGCCAAAAUGGCUGACUAGAAGCAGCUACAGUGUGUAGCUCUCAGGGAGAGGAAGGAAAGGGAAGAGUAAAUACAGCACCUUCAACUGAAAUAUCCAGGUAUUCACAUUGGGACUGACCAGGGAAACAGCUGGACCCACAGAGAACGAAGAAAAGCAGGGCAGGGUGAUGGCCUGCACGAGAGUGACACGGAGCCAAGGGAACCUCCCCCUCCCAGGGAAGUGGGCAUGAAAGGUUCAAAUAGAAAAGCAGCAUGGUGAUGGGGCUGACUGUUCCAGAAUUGAUGUGCCCGUGCUCCGUGAGGAACGCAGCUCAUCUGUACCAGCAAAUGUGUUGGCUCCUGCCUGCAAUUGUAUCAUUCAGGUGUGCAUUGUAAAAACAAUUCACGGAUAAGCACAGGUGCCAUUAAGAACAUUCAUGAUUCAUGGGAGGAGGGCAAAAUAUCAACAGUAACAGGAGUAUGGAAGAAGUUGAUUCCAACUCUCAUAAAUGACUGUGAGAGGUUCAAGACUUCAGUGGAGGAAGUAACUGCAGUUGUGGUGGAAAUAGCUAGAGAACUACAAUUAGAAGUGGAACCUGAAGAAGUGACUGAGUAGCUGCAACCUAUGAUAAAACUUGAAUUGAUGAGGAGUUACUUCUUACAGAUGAGCAAAUAAUUCUGAAGGAGAAUCAGUAGAGACACUGAAACAAUGAAAUAUCUGAAUAUUAACAAUAUGAUUUUGGAUCAAAUGCAUUUCAGAAUCUGAAUGAAUGAAGAAUAUGAACAAGUUGCUCUGGCAAGAACUUCCAGUACAGCGUUGAUGAGCAGUGGUAAAAGGAUUUCACUGUUUUCUGCUAUCUGGAUUUUCCCAAAGAUCCGCUAAAUCCUAAACUUCAUCUUGGUCUGAAGAAGGGCAAGUCCUCUCUCCAGCUCUUCAUUUGCUGACUCUCACUGAUGCAAGAAGAAUGAAGUCUCUUACCUGCCUUCUCCUAGGACAUCCUGGGAGAAACUGUGACUGCUGGUGUGUUCUCAAAACUCACCAACAUGAUUCUCCUUGUGGCUAUAUGACUCUAGAAAGGGAAUUUAAAUAAAAUGAUAACAAUUAACAGAUACUUUUAUGUAAACAACCGGUAGUGACCACUAUACUAGUUGGUUUGUAUUUACCAAAUUCCAUGUCUGAGGCCAAGAAUUUAUCUCUAAAUCCUCUGGGAUAAAAAUCCAGCAUCUCAUCUUUUUUUCUGCCAGCUGUAAAAACAUUGCAGGAAGGUACUGAGUACUUUUUGUUGUUGUUUUCUCCUUUCUUUGAAUCUUUGGCUUUGACAAGCAUGGAAUGAAAAUCAUAUAGAGCAUGGAGCUUAUAGCAAAGGAGAAUGUAGAGGCAAAGAGAAUAAAAAUGCUGGGAUAAUUUCUUGAAAAAUUACUUAGAGGAAGAUGUCUUAUUUUUGUGUCAUAUAACCUCUCACAUGGUUCUUGAAUGUUGCUAACUAUGGCUAGCAGUGCGAUUUCCAACAAGUAAACUGUAAUCUAGCCAAUGCUGUGAGAGUUGUACAUGUCAACCAAGGGUCAAAUAUGGCUAUACCUGUCAAGAGUUGCAAAGUAAAUGUAGAAUCUUACUUUCCCGAGGUACAUAUAAUUUAAGUUUCUUGUUCUGUUCUUUACUGUGGCAUUAUUAAAACUUAAACCCACGCCAUUUUCCUACUGAGUCACUUUCAAUGCAUAAGAAUAUGCUUUCAAGCUAUAACUGCAUCAAUACCUGUGAUUGUACUUUCUAUUGAGAAUACAAAUGCUUUUUCCCCCCUUCAGAGCUGUCAAAGCUUCUGAUGCUGAAGAGUUGAUCUUGGAAAAUGCAGGUUCAGUCCUGCUACCAGCAGAAAGUGAAGAAAGUCCUUAAUUUCACAAUCGAUGUCAUCCUAACGAUGCCAGUAUAAUAAUGGUGCAGAAAACAUACUUCAUUGAUUUUAUCUUUUUCUAUUUGGGAAGGCAAAAUUAAUCAUUCAUCUGAUCUGUGAUGUGACAAGUUAGAUAUCAUAUUCUGUUAAAAUCAGUUAGUUGUCGAUCAAAAUCAACAGUGCUUUUUCUUCAGAUUGAUUGGCACUAAAUUCUUCAUAGCUUAAGAAAUUUGACAUUUUAUAUAAGAACUCAAACAGCAUGGAGCCACAAUUUUAUUGUCGAUUAUAACAUGCCUGUAAUUGACAAGUAAGUAAGUAAACACCUGUUUGGUGUGAUCCAUUCAUCUUAAUUCCAUUGUGGUCCCAUGCUUUUGCUUUAAUUUUAUGCUUGCUAUA
rnacentral:lncRNA from 1 species